rnacentral:lncRNA from 1 species
UUUAUCCCAAAGAAAAGGAAACAUAAACAACAUGUUAGGUGCAGUAAAGAAAAUAAUACUUACUGCAAGAGAAAAGAAUAAAAAAAAUAAAAAAUUGAGAGCCUUCGCAGCUGAAUUGUAAUAGCUACCACUUACAAGAUCAUUUAUCGCCUUAGUUGCAAGAUGCCAAAUGGCCCUGAAAAGAAAUACAAGAUCAUUUAUGAUCCAACUUCUUUUUCUGGAUAAAAUAUUGGACUUUUGAUUACCAACACCAAAUUUCAAAAAGAUUAUCAAGUAAACAUAUUUGCAUGAUACGCAUCAUAUAAAAUAUUCAUCACCAAAGAACAUACAAAGAGAGAAAUAAAGCAAAAAAAUUAUCAAAAAGAUCAGUUAGCAUGCCAAAUAUGUGUUGACCAGUACAUGGAAUGCUGAUCCAUCUUGCACAUGUUAGAGUUAUAAAUAGUUCCAAAAUUAAGGAAUUACAUCAAAACUCUCCUCACAAUACACAUUAUAACAUCUACUAAUCUACUGUGUUUUUCUUUUCUUUUCUUUUUUCCUUAAUAGAAUGUUGAUCUGGACUUAAUACAAAUAAAAAAAAUAGAAUUUAUAUUUAUAACAUCUUAUAGGAAAUAAACAAAAUUGUCUAUGUUAAAACAUAUGAUCUUAUUUAUGUUAGGAUCAAGCGCUUACCAUUGGGCUAAAAGCUUAAGCUGAUAGUCAAGGUGCAACUUUAUUUCCUUAUACAAUGGAAGCGCAGAACCCCACACUAAGCGGUGGAUGGACAUGAGGGACUGCACACAUUUGUAAUUGUGCCAACAGGCCGGGCAGUUACGCCUAAGGUAAUCUUACUACCACCUCAAUGAAAUUACAACAAAAUAUGUCUAUGUUAAAACAUAUUAUCUUAUUUAUACAUUUCAUCAAGCAGAAAAAAAAAUGAAAUUCCAAUUAAAAAAGAAAAAGAAAAAAUAUUAAAAAUAAAAAGUAAAAAGAGAUUGAUUUUUUUCAUAAAUGACCUUCUAAGAUGAGAUCUUUAGUGAGUCGGUGAAGAGUGAGCUCGGCUUUAAUCACUAAGCUCGAUCUUGAUCUCACACAGUUUUACUUCUCAUCUCAUGGAUACUCGUAAAGCACACCCAUAUCACUAGGAUGAGAUCUUUAGCAAGUCGAUGAAGAGUGAGCUCGGCUUUAAUUACUAAACUCGAUCUUGAUCUCACACAGUUUUACUUCUCAUCUCAUGGAUACUCCUAAAUCACACCCAUAUCCUUAACAUCCAAUUCAAUAAGCAAAGUUAUAGAAGAUAUAGUAGACACCGGCAUCAUUCCUAAAUUAUCCAUCACUAUGUAAGCUUCCACCUUUAACAGAACAUCGAUGAGCUUCUGGCAGCAUCUUGUAUCACAAAUAGAACACUAAAGACAAGAAUUUUUUUCUUUUUGUUUUCAAUACUACAUUUUAUAAAUAGAACAGAACAAUACAGAGCAUUCUAUAAAUAUAUAGAAUCCAAAGCGGUUCAAAUUAAAUAUUAAAAUAACAGAGCAUGAAUAUGACAAAAAAUAGAAAAAAACUUACCGUCUUGAAAUCUUAAGCUCCCAAGUGCCCAUGGAAAUCACUUCUCAAAAUAUUUUUGCAUUCCAUAGAUGCCACUUCAACCCUAACCAGCAACCACCAUUCAAUUAAUAAAAAAAGAAAAUUAUUCAGAUUGUUAAACACAUAAUCCCAAACAGUUAAAUAAGUAAGGAGAGGCCAAAAUUAAUAACUUUCUCCUUAAGGUCACCCAAAAUUCACACUCAAAAUUUUUAUGCAAAAUGACACCAGAUAUUAAAAGAAAAAAUGGGCUACCAGAUCAAGCAUUAGAGAGUGGAGAAUGGAAUUGAAAUUGAAGAGUGGCAAUGUGAAAAACCAGUGGAGAGUGUGGAUCAAAGAUUGAUCAACACAAAUUAGAAAAAAAAAAGUAUGGCCAAAUGUGGAGGAGGAGAAACGAGAGUUGAGAGAAGAAAAGAGUUGGAAUUGGAGAGGACAAAAAAUUAGGGCCGGCUGUGCCCUAG